AUUGAACGCUGGCGGCCGGCCUAACACAUGCAAGUCGAGCGAGCGGCGGACGGGUGAGUAAUGUAUGGGGAUCUGCCCGAUAGAGGGGGAUAACUACUGGAAACGGUGGCUAAUACCGCCUACCAUCGGAUGUGCCCCGAUGGGAUUAGCUAGUAGGUGGGGUAACGGCUCACCUAGGCGACGAUCCCUAGCUGGUCGGAGAGGAUGACCAGCCACACGGGAACUGAGACAGGGUCCAGACUCCUACGGGGGGCAGCAGGGGGGAAUAUUGCACAAUGGGCGCAAGCCUGAUGCGUCCAUGCCGCGUGUAUGAAGAAGGCCUUAGGGUUGUAAAGUACGUUCAGCGGGGAGGCGUUACCCGAAGAAGAAGCACCGGCUAACUCCGUGCCAGCCGCCGCGGUAAUAC
rnacentral:rRNA from 1 species